rnacentral:lncRNA from 1 species
CCAACAAUGUCACCCAUCUACCCCAACAAUGUCACCCAUUGGGUGUCCCCAGCAGUGUCACCCAUUGUCCCCAACCAUGUCACCCACUGUCCCCAACCAUGUCACCCAUUGUCCCCAACAGCGUCACCCAUUGGUUGUCCCCAACAACGUCACCCAUUGUCCCCAACAACGUCACCCAUUGUCCCCAACAAUGUCACCCAUUGACCCCAACAAUGUCACCCGCCGGGUGUCCCCAGCAGUGUCACCCAUUGGUUGUCCCCAACAACGUCACCCAUUGUCCCCAACAACGUCACCCAUUGUCCCCAACAAUGUCACCCAUUGACCCCAACCAUGUCACCCAUUGUCCCCAACAGCGUCACCCAAUGUCCCCAACAAUGUCACCCAUUGUCCCCAGCAGCAUCACCCAUUGGGUGUCCCCAACAAUGUCACCCAUUGACCCCAACCAUGUCACCCA